ACUCUUACGAGGCCUCGUAAUCGGAAUGAGUACACUUUAAAUAUUUUAACGAGGAACAAUUGGAGGGCAAGUCUGGUGCCAGCAGCCGCGGUAAUUCCAGCUCCAAUAGCGUAUACUAAAAUUGUUGCGGUUAAAAAGCUCGUAGUUGCAUUUGUGCGCCGCGCUGUCGGUGCACCGCAUCCGCGGUGAUACUGACACGUUUGCGGAGCAUAUCGUCGGUGAGCCGGCGUUCUAAAAAACGCCGGUUCAAUAUCAAAAUCCUAUCGCGGUGCUCUUCGGUGAGUGUCGAGGUGGGCCGACAAUUUUACUUUGAACAAAUUAGAGUGCUCAAAGCGGGCUAAAAAUGCUGCUUGAAUAUUUCGUGCAUGGAAUAAUAGAAUAUGAUCUCGGUUCUAUUUUGUAGGUUUUCAGAACUCCGAGGUAAUGAUUAAUAGGGAUAACUGGGGGCAUUCGUAUUGCGACGUUAGAGGUGAAAUUCUUGGAUCGUCGCAAGACGAACAUCAGCGAAAGCAUUUGCCAAAGGUGUUUUCAUCAAUCAAGAACGAAAGUUAGAGGUUCGAAGGCGAUUAGAUACCGCCCUAGUUCUAACCGUAAAUAUGUCAUCUAGCGAUCCGCCGACGUUACUACAAUGGCUCGGCGGGCAGCUUCCGGGAAACCAAAGAUUUUGGACUCCGGGGGGAGUAUGGUUGCAAAGCUGAAACUUAAAGGAAUUGACGGAAGGGCACCACCAGGAGUGGAGCCUGCGGCUUAAUUUGACUCAACACGGGAAAUCUCACCAGGCCCGGACACCGGAAGGAUUGACAGAUUAACAGCUCUUUCUUGAUUCGGUGGGUGGUGGUGCAUGGCCGUUCUUAGUUGGUGGAGCGAUUUGUCUGGUUAAUUCCGGUAACGAACGAGACUCUAGCCUGCUAAAUAGGCGUCGUUAUUUAGGUGUGCGCGGCCUCGUGUCGCGCAACUCACUGACGACGUAUUAAAAUUCUUCUUAGAGGGACCGGCGUCUUCGAGCCGCACGAGAUUGAGCAAUAACAGGUCUGUGAUGCCCUUAGAUGUCCUGGGCCGCACGCGCGCUACACUGAAGGAAUCAGCAUGUUCUCCCUGGCCUAGAGGCCCGGGCAACCCGCUGAAACUCCUUCGUGCUGGGGAUUGGGGUUUGCAAUUAUCCCCCAUAAACGAGGAAUUCCUAGUAAGCGCGAGUCAUAAGCUCGCGUUGAUUACGUCCCUGCCCUUUGUACACACCGCCCGUCGCUACUACCGAUUGAAUGAUUUAGUGAGGUCUUCGGACCGACACGCGGUGGCUUCACGGCCGUCGGCGUUGUUGGGAAGUUGACCAAACUUGAUCAUUUAGAGGAAGUAAAAGUCGUAACAAGGUUUCCGUAGGGGAACCUGCGGAAG
rnacentral:rRNA from 1 species